rnacentral:rRNA from 1 species
CGUAGGUGGCAAGCGUUGUCCGGAUUUACUGGGGUGUAAAGGGCGUGUAGGCGGGGCUGCAAGUCAGAAGUGAAAUCUAUGGGCUUAACCCAUAAACUGCUUUUGAAACUGUGGCUCUUGAGUAUCGGAGAGGCAGGCGGAAUUCCUAGUGUAGCGGUGAAAUGCGUAGAUAUUAGGAGGAACACCAGUGGCGAAGGCGGCCUGCUGGACGACAACUGACGCUGAGGCGCGAAAGCGUGGGGGAGCAAACAGGAUU